GACGAACGCUGGCGGCGUGCUUAACACAUGCAAGUCGAACGGUAAGGCCCUUCGGGGUACACGAGUGGCGAACGGGUGAGUAACACGUGGGUGAUCUGCCCUGCACUUCGGGAUAAGCCUGGGAAACUGGGUCUAAUACCGGAUAGGACCACUGCCUGCAUGGGUGGUGGUGGAAAGCUUUUGCGGUGUGGGAUGGGCCCGCGGCCUAUCAGCUUGUUGGUGGGGUGAUGGCCUACCAAGGCGGCGACGGGUAGCCGGCCUGUGAGGGUGACCGGCCACACGGGGACUGAGAUACGGCCCAGACGCCUACGGGAGGCAGCAGUGGGGAAUAUUGCACAAUGGGCGCAAGCCUGAUGCAGCGACGCCGCGUGAGGGAUGACGGCCUUCAGGUUGUAAACCUCUUUCAGCACCGACGAAGCGCAAGUGACGGUAGGUGCAGAAGAAGGACCGGCCAACUACGUGCCAGCCGCCGCUGUAA
rnacentral:rRNA from 1 species